AGGAGCUUGCAGCGGCACACUGGGAACGGCUCUAAUGGAGAGGGGAGUGCGGUGCUCUGGUCCCCACACUGCAGCCUGGGCUCUGGUGCUGGCACACAGCCCCCGCCAACGCUUCAG